AGGAAAAUGAAAAUAAACAAAGGGGUAGUACAGAAAAUAUCUGUAAUGCCACAUUCUUCCCCCCAGGAUGAAACAACCCAUGGUUGUUAGGAGAAAGGAAUUAAAACCCUAAGAAUUCCUCCUCAUCUGAGGUUUCUUGAAAGAGGUCCCGAAGUGUUUUCUUUGCUUGGUCCUCCAACUGCUCAGCUGUGGGAAAACACAUUUUAAGAUUGCACACAUGUGCAGUGCGCACAUCUUCUCCAGUUGCCUCCAAUGCAAUGCGGUAAUUCAAAGGUCCAAGUGACUUCAGAACCCGUUCCGGAGUUGACGAUGUUGGGCUUUUCUGCUACUCUCCUUAACCUGAGAUUGCAGUUGUUGUAUGUGAGAGAUUACGUCAUAGGAGGUGGUGUCAGGAGUAAGAUUUGGACCGUGCAGAAUUUUAUCCAUUGGCCCUCUCAGUUUUCUUCCAAGCUGCAAUUCUGCUGGGGUUACUCCAGUGGUUUCCUGGAUGGCAGAGUUAAUGGCGAAUCUCAUCUCUGAUGAGAUGAACUGGGUGCCUCUAUCAGAAAGAAUGAAGUCUGGAACUCCCCAACGAGUUAAGAUUUCUUUUCUGAAAAUUGUUGCAAUACUUUGAGCGGUGGCAUGACGCAUAGGAAAAAACUCAACCCA